GACGAACGCUGGCGGCGUGCUUAACACAUGCAAGUCGUACGGUAAGGCCCUUUCGGGGGUACACGAGUGGCGAACGGGUGAGUAACACGUGAGUAACCUGCCCACAACUUUGGGAUAACGCUAGGAAACUGGUGCUAAUACUGGAUAUGUGCUCCUGCUGCAUGGUGGGGGUUGGAAAGCUCCGGCGGUUGUGGAUGGACUCGCGGCCUAUCAGCUUGUUGGUGGGGUAGUGGCCUACCAAGGCGGCGACGGGUAGCCGGCCUGAGAGGGUGACCGGCCACAUUGGGACUGAGAUACGGCCCAGACGCCUACGGGAGGCAGCAGUGGGGAAUAUUGCACAAUGGGCGCAAGCCUGAUGCAGCAACGCCGCGUGCGGGAUGACGGCCUUCGGGUUGUAAACCGCUUUCAGCAGGGACGAAGCUUUUUGUGACGGUACCUGCAGAAGAAGCACCGGCUAACUACG
rnacentral:rRNA from 1 species